AACCUGCCCAAGAGAUCGGGAUAACACCUGGAAACAGAUGCUAAUACCGGAUAACAAUAGAUGAUGCCUAUCAACUGUUUAAAAGAUGGUUCUGCUAUCACUCUUGGAUGGACCUGCGGUGCAUUAGCUAGUUGGUAGGGUAACGGCCUACCAAGGCGAUGAUGCAUAGCCGAGUCGAGAGACUGAUCGGCCACAUUGGGACUGAGACACGGCCCAAACUCCUACGGGAGGCAGCAGCC
rnacentral:rRNA from 1 species